UACGUAGGUGGCAAGCGUUGUCCGGAAUUACUGGGCGUAAAGGGCGUGUAGGCGGCCCAUUAAGUCAGACGUGAAAAUCAGGGGCUUAACCUCGGGAGUGCGUUUGAAACUGACGGGCUAGAGGAUCGGAGAGGGCAGUGGAAUUCCCAGUGUAGCGGUGAAAUGCGUAGAUAUUGGGAAGAACACCAGUGGCGAAGGCGGCUGCCUGGACGACACCUGACGCUGAGGCGCGAAAGCGAGGGGAUCAAACGGG
rnacentral:rRNA from 1 species